rnacentral:rRNA from 1 species
AAAGGAAUUGACGGGGGCCCGCACAAGCGGUGGAGCAUGUGGUUUAAUUCGAUGAUACGCGAGGAACCUUACCUGGGUUUGAAUGAAUUCUGACCGUUCGGGAAACCGGACUUCUCUUCGGAGCAGUUUUCAAGGUGCUGCAUGGUUGUCGUCAGCUCGUGCCGUGAGGUGUCGGGUUAAGUCCCAUAACGAGCGCAACCCCUAUCCUUAGUUGCCAGCACAUAAUGGUGGGGACUCUAAGGAAACUGCCUACGCAAGUAGUGAGGAAGGUGGGGAUGACGUCAAAUCAGCACGGCCCUUAUAUCCAGGGCUACACACGUGCUACAAUGGCCGGUACAGAGGGCAGCUACCUGGUGACAGGAUGCAAAUCUCGAAAGCCGGUCUCAGUUCGGAUUGGAGUCUGCAACUCGACUCCAUGAAGCUGGAAUCGCUAGUAAUCGCGCAUCAGCCAUGGCGCGGUGAAUACGUUCCCGGGCCUUGUACACACCGCCCGU